ACCCCUGCUGGUUACAGAACAGGGAGGAAGACAACUGGGUGUUGUGACUGACACUUGCAGGUGGCAGGCUUCAGUAUUUCAGAGGGGGCUCAAGAGAAGCGAAGAAACAGACCUAUUUUGUUGAUGAUUAAGCCAGAUUUCUGUUAGUUUGUGAAAUUGACAAGCUGAUACCAAAGAACUCAAAAUAAUAAAGAGAAGAGAUCAUGAGAAAGUCACAGGGGAUUCCUGUUUCAGAACAACAUCAGAGAGAAUACGAGGGACGUGAGAAAAGUGUAGCGGAACGUCGGAAACUAUUUGAAAAACCUCAGGGAAAAAAUGAUGUUCCUGAAAAAAUAUUUGUACCUCAGGAAAGAAAUG
rnacentral:lncRNA from 1 species